ACGAAUCUUCACCCACGUCCUUGGUAGCACUACAGCUUAUGUGAAAAUGGUGAAGAAGCGAUGUUCUGAGCAAAAGAUGAAAUCACCACCACUUCUCAAACCUGACUCUGAAAGGAAAACCACAGAAUCUGAUGGGUUCCUCUAGGUCACUGUCCCACAAGAAACGACAAGGUAUCAGUUACAAUGAAACUUAAAACAAUACGUUAAGACUUACUAUACUAACUCAUAUGUUCUUGCCUAAACCUACAUUAGCUGAAGAUGAGGAGACCCAUCCAUUGUUGUUUAUUACAUAUGGUUUGUUCAUGUAAUGUAUACAAUUCAUAUUCUAAUACAGCUUUUUUCAUGGAUAUGAGGCUUGGCGUUAAGAAGCAAGUUCUGCAAAGUGAGCUCUGCAUCAAAGAAAGCUUAUGUGUGCGGAAAAGAAAAUUUCAACAUACCAACAAGGCGAUGGCACAUACUAAACCGAUAGAACACUGGUUUUUAUCCCUUCCGAACACCUUGCUGUUGAAUACAGGCGUUGCAAGUGUCCGUCAACCUCUGCCCAUGGUUCCAUCAGCACAGAGCAGAGUCUCCGACUAGACAAGAAGCACCAGCCAUGGAUCGAUGAGAGGUACAAAAAUACAUUGCCACCAAACUGAAGACCACUUGCGACUCUGAAGAUUAAAUAGUUAUGCAUCUACGCCCUGCCAACAAUGUAGAAUCUUUUCCUUCAGAAACUCAUGAAAAAACUUAUAUAACCCGAAUGAAACAUAACACAUCUAUCACAUUAUCCCAUAAGAAAUCAUGUAAGUUGUUCGCCCAGCAAGACCCCACUUUCCAAAUACAACUUCAACAUGUUGCUGUUUUAUGUAAGAACGGAGAGGCAAUGUGAAAUCACUUAUUCAUUGACUAUCAUUUCACUU